GAAAUGUGAUAAGUAAUGUGAAUUGCAGAUUUCAGUGAAUCAUCGAAUCUUUGAACGCACAUUGCGCCCGCUAGUAUUCUGGCGGGCAUGCCUGUUCGAGCGUCAUUUCAACCAUCAAGCCCCCGGCUUGCGUUGGAGCCCUGCGGCUGCCGCAGGCUCCCAAAUCUAGUGGCGGGCUCGUCGUCGUACCGAGUGCAGUAAACAUCCUCGCUCAGGGAACGCGUCGGGUUCUUGCCGUGAAACCCCCCCUAUUAAGGUUGACCUCGGAUCAGGUAGGAAUACCCGCUGAGUUUAA
rnacentral:misc_RNA from 1 species